rnacentral:tRNA from 1 species
GGCCCGUUCGUCUAUCGGCUAGGACAUCAGAUUCUCAUUCUGAUAAGGGGGGUUCGAUUCCCCCACGGGUCA